rnacentral:rRNA from 1 species
CCUACGGGCGGCAGCAGUGGGGAAUAUUGCGCAAUGGGCGAAAGCCUGACGCAGCGACGCCGCGUGCGGGAUGAAGGUCUUCGGAUCGUAAACCUCUGUCAGCAGGGAAGAACGGUCACUGUGCUAAUCAGCAGUGAAUUGACGGUACCUGCAAGGGAAGCACCGGCUAACUCCGUGCCAGCAGCCGCGGUAAAGCGGAGGAUGCGAGCGUUAAUCGGAAUUGCUGGGCGUAAAGCGCUCGUAGGCGGUAUGUCAAGUCAAGGGUGAAAUCCCCGGGCUCAACGUGGGAACUGCCUUUGAAACUGGCAAACUGGAGAGUGUGAGAGGAUAGUGGAAUUCCAGGUGUAGGAGUGAAAUCCGUAGAUAUCUGGAGGAACAUCAGUGGCGAAGGCGACUAUCUGGCACAUAACUGACGCUGAGGAGCGAAAGCGUGGGUAGCAAACAGGAUUAGAUACCCGAGUAGUC